UUUUUUUUUUUUCUGCAGCUAGUUGGUGAAUUUCUUUAUUCCCAUAUGGCGAAUUUUGAGGUUUAUUAAGGUGAAUUGUGCUUUGAGUUGGAUGAGCAAUAAAAGAUUAGAGCGUUGGAAAUGGAGUAGAAGUCUCAUUUUUUUUUUGUAAGUUGGCACAAUGAAAGAUUGAAGAAGAAAUUAGGGUUCUUCAAUUGGAUUUGAUAAAAUAUUGCGAAAAUAGAUUUUACUGAUGGUUGAGGGUUAUAUUGAAGUUAAAAAUGUAAUUUUUUUGGGGGUGUUUUUAACGAUUAAAAUAGAGCAAAGACGCGCUCAAUCACAUUGUCAAAUACGCACAGCUGGCCAGGCCUUAGGAGAGUAAAUAAAUACAAUUUUCAAAUAAUAAUAGGGUAUUACCCUAAAUUAAAAGUAAACUUUUAGGUAUUUUCAAAGUUAUGGAGAAGAGAGUAUCUGUAGAUGUAUAAUUUUAUGAUGCGAAAAUACCUUGGAGUUGUCAAUCUACGUGUCGCUUUGUAACUAUAAUGAGUCAGCCAAGAUAUAAAACCCGUCACUUUUAGAGCAAAUGUAACAGUGAAAGGUCAAAAGUGGGCUUUGAAAAUACCUAAAAAGUUUACUUUAUUUACAAACUUGUGUGAUGGCAGUUGAUGUAAUAAUAUUAAAAAGUAGGGUUAAUUAUUACGAAGAGCGGGCUGCUUCACCUGCUCCUGCGGUGCUUCUUAUUAGGAGAAGGAGAAUAAAUUAAACAUAUAUUUUUUUUUAAAAGAAACUUACAUUAAGCUAAAACCCAACAUCACAGGAAGGAGAGUGCCCGUGGCACAUUAUAGUACAUCCACUCAUAGUAGUACAAAAAGGGACAUCUCCAUAGUAACACCUUACAGCUGUAUCUGUAACCAUAUUUUGCUCCCCUAACUGUAAAUAGGUGGAUUACUAAGCUCGUCAAUUACGAACCUGAAAUCAUAUAUAAUGUUAGAUUAACAUGAAUUUAGUAUAAUUUCAUUUAGUAUGGUCUGGAAAGGAUAGUAUGUACGCAAAUCUUACCCCUAUCCUUAAAUAGAGAGGCUGUUUUCAAAUAGAUCCCCAACAUCCUUCCCUCCAACAACUUCUCAUCUUACUCUUGGGGAGACUCGAACUCACAAUCUAUCUGUUAGAAGUGGGGUUGCUUUCCAUCAGAGCAACCCCUCUUAUAAUCCCACUUAGUGAGGUCUGGGUAGGGUAGUGUGUACGCAAACCUUACCUCUACCAUGAGGUAGAGAGGCUGUUUCCAAAUCCCUCUUGUCUUAAAUAAACUUAUUUAUCUACUCAUAGUAGAUUUUGUGGGGAAUUUUUUAUUUAUUCUCUAGUUCUUUUUUAUUUCUAUUCUUAUUUUCUUUUCUUUUUUCUUUUAAUUUCUUUUUUCCUUUUUUCUCGUUUUCUUCUUAUUUUUUUCUUUUCUAAUUUUAUUUAACUUAUAUUUUUUAUAUUAAUUUUCUCUUCAUAAUAUAAUUUCAUUUAAUAUUUUUAUUAUUUUUUAUUAUUCUUUUUUAUAUUAUUACUAAAGAAAAAUCAAAUUGUGUACCAAGUAAAUGUAGUUAAUACAACCAAAAAAUAUUAACUAACAUACGAUACCAGUAUAGCAUAUAGCUAUGCCAACAGGGUAUAAAAUUGUAUACAAAGAGUUGAAUUUUUUUAAUUCAAUUAUUAAAAUAAAAUAAUAUCAGUUGUCAAAAAAAUUUUAAAAAUUCUAAAAAAAUAUAAUUGUAAGAGUAUACCGUUACAUCAUAUAUAUAUAUAUAUAUGAUGUAACGGUAUACUCUUACAAUUAUAUUUUUUUAGAAUUUUUAAAAUUUUUUUGACAACUGAUAUUAUUUUAUUUUAAUAAUUGAAUUAAAAAAAUUCAACUCUUUGUAUACAAUUUUAUACCCUGUUGGCAUAGCUAUAUGCUAUACUGGUAUCGUAUGUUAGUUAAUAUUUUUUGGUUGUAUUAACUACAUUUACUUGGUACACAAUUUGAUUUUUCUUUAGUAAUAAUAUAAAAAAGAAUAAUAAAAAAUAAUAAAAAUAUUAAAUGAAAUUAUAUUAUGAAGAGAAAAUUAAUAUAAAAAAUAUAAGUUAAAUAAAAUUAGAAAAGAAAAAAAUAAGAAGAAAACGAGAAAAAAGGAAAAAAGAAAUUAAAAGAAAAAAGAAAAGAAAAUAAGAAUAGAAAUAAAAAAGAACUAGAGAAUAAAUAAAAAAUUCCCCACAAAAUCUACUAUGAGUAGAUAAAUAAGUUUAUUUAAGACAAGAGGGAUUUGGAAACAGCCUCUCUACCUCAUGGUAGAGGUAAGGUUUGCGUACACACUACCCUACCCAGACCUCACUAAGUGGGAUUAUAAGAGGGGUUGCUCUGAUGGAAAGCAACCCCACUUCUAACAGAUAGAUUGUGAGUUCGAGUCUCCCCAAGAGUAAGAUGAGAAGUUGUUGGAGGGAAGGAUGUUGGGGAUCUAUUUGAAAACAGCCUCUCUAUUUAAGGAUAGGGGUAAGAUUUGCGUACAUACUAUCCUUUCCAGACCAUACUAAAUGAAAUUAUACUAAAUUCAUGUUAAUCUAACAUUAUAUAUGAUUUCAGGUUCGUAAUUGACGAGCUUAGUAAUCCACCUAUUUACAGUUAGGGGAGCAAAAUAUGGUUACAGAUACAGCUGUAAGGUGUUACUAUGGAGAUGUCCCUUUUUGUACUACUAUGAGUGGAUGUACUAUAAUGUGCCACGGGCACUCUCCUUCCUGUGAUGUUGGGUUUUAGCUUAAUGUAAGUUUCUUUUAAAAAAAAAUAUAUGUUUAAUUUAUUCUCCUUCUCCUAAUAAGAAGCACCGCAGGAGCAGGUGAAGCAGCCCGCUCUUCGUAAUAAUUAACCCUACUUUUUAAUAUUAUUACAUCAACUGCCAUCACACAAGUUUGUAAAUAAAGUAAACUUUUUAGGUAUUUUCAAAGCCCACUUUUGACCUUUCACUGUUACAUUUGCUCUAAAAGUGACGGGUUUUAUAUCUUGGCUGACUCAUUAUAGUUACAAAGCGACACGUAGAUUGACAACUCCAAGGUAUUUUCGCAUCAUAAAAUUAUACAUCUACAGAUACUCUCUUCUCCAUAACUUUGAAAAUACCUAAAAGUUUACUUUUAAUUUAGGGUAAUACCCUAUUAUUAUUUGAAAAUUGUAUUUAUUUACUCUCCUAAGGCCUGGCCAGCUGUGCGUAUUUGACAAUGUGAUUGAGCGCGUCUUUGCUCUAUUUUAAUCGUUAAAAACACCCCCAAAAAAAUUACAUUUUUAACUUCAAUAUAACCCUCAACCAUCAGUAAAAUCUAUUUUCGCAAUAUUUUAUCAAAUCCAAUUGAAGAACCCUAAUUUCUUCUUCAAUCUUUCAUUGUGCCAACUUACAAAAAAAAAAUGAGACUUCUACUCCAUUUCCAACGCUCUAAUCUUUUAUUGCUCAUCCAACUCAAAGCACAAUUCACCUUAAUAAACCUCAAAAUUCGCCAUAUGGGAAUAAAGAAAUUCACCAACUAGCUGCAGAAAAAAAAAAAAAAACUUAGUUAAACCAACAGCUCUACAAUUUUGCACAAAUCCACGAAAAUUUCAAGAAUUGAAAUUUUUGAGUCUGAAGCUAGUUUAAAUGAGAAAAGCUGAAAGCUUUUGGUAUUAGGAAUUGUAUCUGUUGGGAUAAAAUUGUUUUUAAUGGGUUUUGAUGAUCAAAAUAAAGCAGAAAUUUUGAGAUAAUAUGAGAAGAUAUGCCAUUUACGCAUUGACAGUUAGUACUGGAGUCCUUUGGGUUGUUUAUGAAGCACGUGUUUUUCACUCAAAUUAAUAUAACUGAAUUUAGAACAGUAAAUAAUUUUCUAGGACAAAUUGAAUGGGAUCUUUAUGCAUUUUCUAUUUAAUUUAAGAUAAGUUGUAUUUUCUAAGAAUAUGUAAUAUACAUCCAUGUUAUCUUGUUUAUAUAUAGAUUUUGAUGCCAAUCAUGAUGACUAAUAUUAGACGUGUCACCCAAGUAUAGAGCUCGUUGGAAGAAAAAAGCAAAGAUGCAGCCACACAACUAUAGGAAAAUUGAAACGGAGAACUUGCAUCCUAUCUCCUUUUAUAAGUUACUUUAUUAUUUUUGACUUUAAGCUUUGCAGGAUUCAAGUGACAGUGUAGUUGCCAGAAUAGUUACACCUAAGCAAGUUGUGCUUCAUUGUGUUGGCUUUAUGUAUUUCCAGAGCCAACCAGAAGCUAAAGCCAUGAAAAUGUGCCAGCUAUUUUAUGGCUGAGUUAUGGAAUUUUUAUGGCAAAUAAGCAAGACAUGACGACUCCGAAGAUUUAUUUUUUGCAAUUGUUGACAAGUUAAUAGUUUCAGAAUAAGGGGAAGAAACAAUGUUACCGUCUUUUAACACUAAAAAGCAUAACUUCUCGCCACAAAAUUAUUUUGUCAUUUUGCUUUUCUCUAAUCAAUUUUAGUAAAACUGCAAAUAUAUAAUACAAAGAGAAUUCAAGCGAAAAGGAUUUUCCUUUGACCAUAUAAGACUACCUAGUUAAUCUUGCUGACUGUUGGCCCCCAACUUGGAUAGCACUGGAGAUACUUACAGCACCAUAAUAGAGAGCCAAUGCUUGCUACUGGUAAAAUCAAGGCCAAAAUACGACACUUACAACAUUGAAGAACGAAAAGGCAUGAUGCACUAUACCGGAAACAAUGACAACAGGGUGCCCAGCGAAACAAAAGGUUUGGGCAUUCUCAGCUUUGGGAAAAUGCCAUACCAAGAUACAGAUGACCGAACACUAACUAUCCAACAACAAUCUGUAACUGGAUCACAAGCACAACAAAUUUAAAUAACAUACAUGACAGGAUAUCGCCACUAGUUGACAUUGAAACAAAUCAAAAGUUGAGAUAACCAUAUGCAUACACAAUCACAAACUUAUUUCCGUAAAACAUCCAUAGUUAGCCCCUGAUAACUACUUCUCCGUGAUCUCAUGCAAAAUCCCAUUGAAGAAUUUCCAGGCAGACAUGUUAACUGCUGCCAAGACAUCCACUUACUUACACAUUUAAUAUUUGGAAACUGCUCAUCAUCGCAUGUAGCAGAACUUGGUAAGAGAGAUCUCCUAUAAGAUAGGUAGACUAGCUUCUCACUCAUUGACACCAACCAGCAAUCCACCAAAAUCUGACAUACCAACCAUGCACUAUCCAAACAGGCAAGGUUCUUACUUCCAAAGCUCCCAACCCUGCACCUACUGACCUCAGUCUGACUUGUCCAGUCUGAAGAGCUAGGCACAAGCUGGCAUACACCCAAAAAAGUGAGUUAUUUUUUAUAAAUAUAUUUCUUGGAUUACUGAAAAAUCUAUUAUUUUUGUUUUCGAAGCUCGGUGGAAAGUGGGUUCUCUCACCUUGCUCUCCCAAGUGAGAAUUUUAAAGAAAGGGUAAACUAAGUCGAUGCAUAACCAGGGACAACAACAACUACCCAGUAUAGUCCCACAAAGUGGGGUUUGGGGAGAGUAAUAUGUAGACGG
rnacentral:lncRNA from 1 species